rnacentral:rRNA from 1 species
GACGUACGCUGGCGGCGUGCCUAAUACAUGCAAGUAGAACGCUGAAGGAGGAGCUUGCUCUUCUGGAUGAGUUGCGAACGGGUGAGUAACGCGUAGGUAACCUGCCUGGUAGCGGGGGAUAACUAUUGGAAACGAUAGCUAAUACCGCAUAAGAGUAGAUGUUGCAUGACAUUUGCUUAAAAGGUGCAAUUGCAUCACUACCAGAUGGACCUGCGUUGUAUUAGCUAGUUGGUGGGGUAACGGCUCACCAAGGCGACGAUACAUAGCCGACCUGAGAGGGUGAUCGGCCACACUGGGACUGAGACACGGCCCAGACUCCUACGGGAGGCAGCAGUAGGGAAUCUUCGGCAAUGGACGGAAGUCUGACCGAGCAACGCCGCGUGAGUGAAGAAGGUUUUCGGAUCGUAAAGCUCUGUUGUAAGAGAAGAACGAGUGUGAGAGUGGAAAGUUCACACUGUGACGGUAUCUUACCAGAAAGGGACGGCUAACUACGUG